rnacentral:rRNA from 1 species
UACGGAGGGAGCUAGCGUUGUUCGGAAUUACUGGGCGUAAAGCGCGCGUAGGCGGCCUUGCAAGUUAGAGGUGAAAGCCCGGAGCUCAACUCCGGAACUGCCUUUAAAACUGCAUAGCUUGAAUCCGGGAGAGGUGAGUGGAAUUCCGAGUGUAGAGGUGAAAUUCGUAGAUAUUCGGAAGAAACACCAGUGGCGAAGGCGGCUCACUGGACCACAACUGACGCUGAUGCGCGAAAGCCAGGGGAGCAAAGCGGG